GAUUCAUACUAGAUAGAUUUAUCAUCGGUGGUGUUCUAAUGUGAUUUCUUUAUUUAAAUAUUCUUCAAUUUUAAUAAUUUUAAGAUUGGUAAUUUGCUAUUUAUCAUUUAUUUUGAGCCCGAGAUAUUUUUAGUUUACAAUCUUUGAGUAAGAAAUAUAUUUAUUUGUUUAAUAUUCAGUUGUUCGUCUUAAUUUUACAUCUUAACAGUUUCCGGGAUGCUACAAAGUAGACAGCUUCAGUCACUUCGAUGGUUUUUUAGUGUAUUCGAAAUUCAAGGUCAAAAAGAUACUCAAAGUUGGUUUAUCGCUAUGAAGGAAGAUGCUCAAAGUUGGUGUAUCGCUACGAAGGAUUUGGUAUAUAUGAUAGGCUUCUCAUACUCUAAAGUGCUCACUGUGUUCUAAAUGUUUGUGUAAGAUGAAGAAUUACUUAUUAGCAUUCACUUUAGUGUAUCACUUACCAGGCUUCACACACUCCAAAGUGCUCACUAUGUUCUAAAUAUUUGUGUAAGAUGAAGAAUUACUUAUUAGCAUUCACUUUAGUGUAUCACUUACUCAUGCUUAUAUUUAUGCAUGUACUUAUUAAGGAUUAGUGGAUUGUAAUAUUUCAAUACAUAGUGAC